UACGUAGGGUGCAGGCGUUAAUCGGAAUCACUGGGCGUAAAGCGUGCGCAGGCGGUUUGCUAAGACAGGUGUGAAAUCCCCGGGCUCAACCUGGGAACUGCAUUUGUGACUGCACGGCUGGAGUGCGGCAGAGGGGGAUGGAAUUCCGCGUGUAGCAGUGAAAUGCGUAGAUAUGCGGAGGAACACCGAUGGCGAAGGCAAUCCCCUGGGCCGCACUGACGCUCAUGCACGAAGGCGUGGGGAGCAAACAGG
rnacentral:rRNA from 1 species